rnacentral:rRNA from 1 species
GAUGAACGCUAGCUCCCUUCUUAGCACAUGCAAGUCGAGGGGCAGCAUGGUCUUAGCUCGCUAAGGCCGAUGGCGACCGGCGCACGGGUGAGUAACGCGUAUCCAACCUGCCUUACACUCUUGGACAGCCUUCUGAAAGGGAGAUUAAUACAAGAUGUUAUCAUGAGUAAGCAUUUUCGCAUGAUUAAAGGUUUACCGGUGUAAGAUGGGGAUGCGUUCCAUUAGAUAGUAGGCGGGGUAACGGCCCACCUAGUCUUCGAUGGAUAGGGGUUCUGAGAGGAAGGUCCCCCACAUUGGAACUGAGACACGGUCCAAACUCCUACGGGAGGCAGCAGUGAGGAAUAUUGGUCAAUGGACGAGAGUCUGAACCAGCCAAGUAGCGUGAAGGAUGAAGGUUCUAUGGAUUGUAAACUUCUUUUAUACGGGAAUAAACGGAUCCACGUGUGGAUUUUUGCAUGUACCGUAUGAAUAAGGAUCGGCUAACUCCGUGCCAGCAGCCGCGGUAAUACGGAGGAUCCGAGCGUUAUCCGGAUUUAUUGGGUUUAAAGGGAGCGUAGAUGGGUUGUUAAGUCAGUUGUGAAAGUUUGCGGCUCAACCGUAAAAUUGCAAUUGAUACUGGCAGUCUUGAGUACAGUUGAGGUAGGCGGAACUCGUGGUGUAGCGGUGAAAUGCUUAGAUAUCACGAAGAACUCCGAUUGCGAAGGCAGCUUACUAACCUGUAACUGACAUUGAUGCUCGAAAGUGUGGGUAUCANACAGG